UCAAGCGAAUAAGUGCAUGUGGUGGAUGCCUUGGCGAUUACAGGCGAUGAAGGACGUUGUAGCGUGCGAAAAGCUACGGGGAGCUCGCAAACAAGCUUUGAUCCGUAGAUGUCCGAAUGGGGAAACCCGGCCCGCAAGGGUCAUCCCAUCCUGAAUACAUAGGGAUGUGGAGGCGAACCCGGUGAACUGAAACAUCUAAGUAGCCGGAGGAAAAGAAAUCAACCGAGAUUCCCAGAGUAGUGGCGAGCGAAAUGGGACGAGCCUGUACGAUUUAACUACCGCGUUAUCAGAACGGUCUGGAAAGGCCGGCCAUAGUGGGUGAUAGCCCCGUAAGGAAAAACCCGGUAGCGGAACUAAGCGUACGACAAGUAGGGCGGGGCACGUGAAACCCUGUCUGAACAUGGGGGGACCAUCCUCCAAGGCUAAAUACUCGUAAUCGACCGAUAGUGAACCAGUACCGUGAGGGAAAGGCGAAAAGAACCCCGGGAGGGGAGUGAAAUAGAUCCUGAAACCGCAUGCAUACAAACAGUGGGAGCCCCUGCACAAAGAGUCUUUGGGGAUCUUUCGAGGAGCGUGGCGUAGCGACGCGACUCAAAAGAGCCAUAAGGAUGAAAUAGAUCUUUGGGCAGGCAAAAGAACCCGGAGGGUUCUUUGUGCAGGGGUGACUGCGUACCUUUUGUAUAAUGGGUCAGCGACUUACGUUCAGUAGCGAGCUUAACCGAAUAGGGGAGGCGUAGCGAAAGCGAGUCUGAUAAGGGCGACUUAGUUGCUGGGCGUAGACCCGAAACCGGAUGAUCUACCCAUGGCCAGGAUGAAGGUGGGGUAACACUCACUGGAGGUCCGAACCCACUAAUGUUGAAAAAUUAGGGGAUGAGCUGUGGGUAGGGGUGAAAGGCUAAACAAAUCCGGAAAUAGCUGGUUCUCUCCGAAAACUAUUUAGGUAGUGCCUCACGUAUCACUCUCGGGGGUAGAGCACUGUAAUGAUUGCGGGGGUCAUAGCGACUUACCGCGUCAUAGCAAACUCCGAAUACCGAGAAGUGCGAGCGUGGGAGACAGACGGUGGGUGCUAACGUCCAUCGUCGAGAGGGAAACAACCCAGACCGCCGGCUAAGGUCCCGAAGACAUGGUUAAGUGGAAAACGAAGUGGGAAGGCAUAGACAGUCAGGAGGUUGGCUUAGAAGCAGCCACCCUUUAAAGAAAGCGUAAUAGCUCACUGAUCGAGUCGUCCUGCGCGGAAGAUGUAACGGGGCUCAAACCAUGCACCGAAGCCGCGGAUAUCCGUAAGGAUAUGGUAGGAGAGCGUUCCGUAGGUCUGUGAAGGUGUCCUGAGAGGGAUGCUGGAGAUAUCGGAAGUGCGAAUGCUGACAUGAGUAGCGAUAAAGCGGGUGAAAGGCCCGCUCGCCGAAAGCCCAAGGUUUCCUGCGCAACGUUCAUCGGCGCAGGGUGAGUCGGCUCCUAAGGCGAGGCCGAAAGGCGUAGUCGAUGGGAAACAGGUUAAUAUUCCUGUACCGAUCUUGAAUGCGAUGGGGGGACGGAGAAGGUUAGGUUGGCCGGGUGUUGGACGUCCCGGUUUAAGCGUGUAGGCGUGCUGUCUAGGCAAAUCCGGACGGCUUAGCUAAGGCGUGAUGACGAGGACCUUCGGGUCUGAAGCAACUGAUACCAUGCUUCCAAGAAAAGCCUCUAAGCUUCAGUUCAAGAUUGACCGUACCGCAAACCGACACAGGUGGGCAGGAUGAAAAUUCUAAGGCGCUUGAGAGAACUCAGGAGAAGGAACUCGGCAAAUUGACACCGUAACUUCGGGAGAAGGUGUGCCUCGAUAAGGUGAAGGACCUCGCGUCUGGAGCCGUAAGGGGUUGCAAAGAAUCGGUGGCUGCGACUGUUUAAUAAAAACACAGCACUCUGCAAACACGAAAGUGGACGUAUAGGGUGUGACGCCUGCCCGGUGCCGGAAGGUUAAGUGAUGGGGUGCAAGCUCUUGAUCGAAGCCCCGGUAAACGGCGGCCGUAACUAUAACGGUCCUAAGGUAGCGAAAUUCCUUGUCGGGUAAGUUCCGACCUGCACGAAUGGCGUAACGAUGGCCACACUGUCUCCUCCUGAGACUCAGCGAAGUUGAAAUGUUUGUGAAGAUGCAAUCUCCCCGCGGCUAGACGGAAAGACCCCAUGAACCUUUACUGUAGCUUUGCAUUGGACUUUGACGGGACUUGUGUAGGAUAGGUGGGAGGCUGUGAGGCGUGGUCGCCAGAUCGCGCGGAGCCAUCCUUGAAAUACCACCCUGGUGUCGUUGAGGUUCUAACCUUGGUCCGUGAAUCCGGAUCGGGGACCGUGCAUGGCAGGCAGUUUGACUGGGGCGGUCUCCUCCUAAAGGGUAACGGAGGAGUUCGAAGGUCUCCUAGGUACGGUCGGACAUCGUACUGAUAGUGCAAUGGCAUAAGGAGGCUUGACUGCGAGACCGACAAGUCGAGCAGGUGCGAAAGCAGGACAUAGUGAUCCGGUGGUUCUGAAUGGAAGGGCCAUCGCUCAACGGAUAAAAGGUACUCUGGGGAUAACAGGCUGAUUCCUCCCAAGAGUUCAUAUCGACGGGGGAGUUUGGCACCUCGAUGUCGGCUCAUCACAUCCUGGGGCUGUAGCCGGUCCCAAGGGUAUGGCUGUUCGCCAUUUAAAGUGGUACGUGAGCUGGGUUUAAAACGUCGUGAGACAGUUUGGUCCCUAUCUGCCGUGGGCGCUGGAAGUUUGAGGGGGCCUGCUCCUAGUACGAGAGGACCGGAGUGGACGUACCCCUGGUGUACCGGUUGUCACGCCAGUGGCAUCGCCGGGUAGCUAUGUACGGAAGAGAUAAACGCUGAAAGCAUCUAAGCGUGAAACUCGCCUCAAGAUGAGACUUCCCGGGGGUUUAACCCCCCUAAAGGGUCGUUCAAGACCAGAACGUUGAUAGGUCAGGUGUGGAAGCGCAGUAAUGCGUUAAGCUAACUGAUACUAAUUGCCCGUGUGGCUUGAUCCU
rnacentral:rRNA from 1 species